GAGAGCUCUCAUUUUCCCCCCUUGCUCGGGAUGGUGCCACAGGAGGCUGUGCGGGCCCCGCUCCGCUUCGAAUGGAUACAGUUAAGCUAAUGAUCUCGAGAGGAUAUCGUCCUGGAUAAGGGUGGAGCCUACGCCCAAAAACAAGAUUACCUGAAAGAGAAAAGAAAGGGGGAAAACACACAGAGAUACAGUCGGGGAGGCCACAUGAAGAUGGAGGCAGAGACAGGAGUGAUGAGCCUGCAAGCCAAGGAAUGCCAAGGGCUGCCAGCAGCCAUGAGAAGCUGAGAGACACAGAGAACGAGUCCUCUGCCAGAGCCUCCAGAAGGAACUAACCCUGUCAAUACCUUGAUUUCGGACUUCUGGACUCCAGAACUAUAACCCUCCUUCCUCCACCUCACAAAAACUCACAAGCUGCAACCCUUCUGAUGUCCACUCCCACACAAACCAGCUUCAGGCCUUUUUCAAGCUUGCUUGGAGAAUACUUCUGAGACUUUCCAAGAGUGCAGGAAAUUCUACCCCCCAAGUAUGGCACCUUGGCAUGCUGAGUAUUUUAAGCUGAAGGAAACAGAGAAAACCACAGAAGCAGAAAGGUCUUUCUGACCUCUCUUGAAGACCCUCAUGUGACAGGUGUCCUGCCCUACAUCCAGAGAGAAGGAAUGUUCCACAGACAGACUAAGAAGAAUCUGAAGAAUCAGGCCUUACUAAGUGCCCUCCAGUGGAUGCUGUGGGGCACCACCUCCUUGAGGACCAAGGCACUCCAGCUGCCAGGAAUUUGGCUGCUAACCUCACACAGCUGAGCCUUCCAUGAAAAUUGCUCUCUGCCAAAGAGAACUUCCUAGUCCAAGGUCAUGUCUACUCUCCAGAGAAAUGCACUGACCCUGCACUCUACAGGACACUAUGCUCAUUCCGAAUGCUAAGAUGUGACUGGAGUGAUUUGCACCCGGAUGCCUAGACUCGCCAUCUGCUCAAAGACUGCUCAGAAAGCCCUCCCAUGCAUUCCCCUGCUGCAUACCAGCCCACUCUGCCUGCAGCUGCUGUCUGCAGGACUUCAUAUCUAUGCCACACUGUGUAAAAGCUGUGCUUCAAGAAAUCACAAAAACAUUUUCCUGCACCUACUACACAGCCUGAGUGCGGCAUAAGUUGACCUUGCUUGCUAAGAAAUGGGGCAAGAAAUGCUUUUUUGUGUGUGUCAUGUCUGUUUGUUUUUCAAUUAAGAGAGGAAAGCAUUAGGCAGAUGGAAUGUACAUGUGAGGAUGAGGAGACAGAAAACAAGUAGCCCUUUCCAUCAAGAUAGAGGGUUUUCUGGGGUUGCUGGCUAUUGAAUGUCACUCCUGAUUUCUCUUUCCAAGGCACUGUACCACCAGCCUACUGAGAUUGUGUGGGAGCUUUCAUGGGGGUUGUAUUUCACUGAUGAAAAUAAAUUUUUUGCAUAAU
rnacentral:lncRNA from 10 species